rnacentral:tRNA from 1 species
AAUAAAGUGCCUGAAAAAGGAUUAUUCUGAUAGGAUAAAUUAUGUAAAUCUAUAUUACCUUUAUUA